GAACGCUGGCGGCAGGCCUAACACAUGCAAGUCGAACGGUAGCACAGAGAGCUUGCUCCUGGGUGACGAGCGGCGGACGGGUGAGUAAUGUCUGGGAAACUGCCUGAUGGAGGGGGAUAACUACUGGAAACGGUAGCUAAUACCGCAUAACGUCGCAAGACCAAAGAGGGGGACCUUCGGGCCUCUUGCCAUCAGAUGUGCCCAGAUGGGAUUAGCUAGUAGGUGGGGUAAUGGCUCACCUAGGCGACGAUCCCUAGCUGGUCUGAGAGGAUGACCAGCCACACUGGAACUGAGACACGGUCCAGACUCCUACGGGAGGCAGCAGUGGGGAAUAUUGCACAAUGGGCGCAAGCCUGAUGCAGCCAUGCCGCGUGUAUGAAGAAGGCCUUCGGGUUGUAAAGUACUUUCAGCGAGGAGGAAGGCAUUGAGGUUAAUAACCUCGGUGAUUGACGUUACUCGCAGAAGAAGCACCGGCUAACUCCGUGCCAGCAGCCGCGGUAAUACGGAGGGUGCAAGCGUUAAUCGGAAUUACUGGGCGUAAAGCGCACGCAGGCGGUCUGUCAAGUCGGAUGUGAAAUCCCCGGGCUCAACCUGGGAACUGCAUUCGAAACUGGCAGGCUAGAGUCUUGUAGAGGGGGGUAGAAUUCCAGGUGUAGCGGUGAAAUGCGUAGAGAUCUGGAGGAAUACCGGUGGCGAAGGCGGCCCCCUGG
rnacentral:rRNA from 1 species